CCAAUAGCGUAUAUUAAAGUUGUUGCAGUUAAAAAGCUCGUAGUUGAAUUUCGGGGUUCUACCGUUGGUCGGGCUUUGUCUGUACUGGCGUGUAGAAUUUCUACCUUCUGGGGAACCAUCAUGUUAUUAAUUUAGCGUGGUGGGAAACCAGGACCUUUACCUUGAAAAAAUUAGAGUGUUCAAAGCAGGCUUAUGUCUGAAUACAUUAGCAUGGAAUAAUAGAAUAGGACGGUGGUCCUGUUUUGUUGGUUUCUGAAUCACCGUAAUGAUUAAUAGGGAUAGUUGGGGGCAUUAGUAUUAAAUUGUCAGAGGUGAAAUUCUUGGAUUUAUUGAAGACUAACUACUGCGAAAGCAUUUGCCAAGGAUGUUUUCAUUAAUCAAGAACGAAAGUUAGGGGAUCGAAGACGAUCAGAUACCGUCGUAGUCUUAACCAUAAACUAUGCCGACUAGGGAUCGGAUGAUGUUAAUUUUUUAAUGACUCAUUCGGCGCCUUACG
rnacentral:rRNA from 1 species